UUGGCAUAUCUAUAAGACAACUGAUCUAACAUGGCAGGCUUAGAUAUGGCGGCUCAGCUCUAUAAGAUUGCCAGCCAUUCCUGUGUCCGUGAAAAAAAAAUAGACAUGAGGUUGGUGGUACUUGACUAGAUUAUUUUGGUGCUGUCCGUGAUUUUGGGAUAAGUUGUCCAGAAAAAAAGAAAAAAUGUGGUUUGCAACCCUGUCAACGUGGCGGAUCAGUUCCAUUCACAUGAAUGGGGAUUGCUGAAAUCCGUGUGCUUGGAUCAUCUGUGUGCUUUCCGCAUCCGUAAGUCCGUUCGGCAAAAAGCUGCGGGGAGCGUCAGGGAUCACCAAGGUGAUGAUUGACGGCUUCCUUUUAAAGGCACGUCCGUGCGCCUGCACAUCAUAGCCGGUCUGAAGAAGCGCGAUUCUUGCGCGAAACGGCCGUUAACGCUUAUGCGCACCGUGGCCAUCCCGCUCCCCAGCCUGCGCAGUAUGCAACUUAACCUGCAAUAAAGCUACAAGUAUUCACAUGACCUCAGUGAGUGCCGCUUCUCUUCUUCUAUACUGAUUUUGUUCCCCUGCAUCACGCUGAGCACCACUAUCCUGGUCAACGGGGGCAGCCGCAGGUCUAUGGACUUCCGACAUACGUAAGGGGCAAACAGGUGAUUAAUACUACUGCGUAGUGCCGCUGUUUUUCCAUUCUUUCUCAUUUACCUUUGUAUUAGACUUAAAGUUUAUAUAGGGGGUAAUGUGAUUGACAGACUUUGCACCCAGUACAAUGAGUGACUGAGUACCUGUCAUCUGCCUGCGACUGUAACCACACCCCCAUGAUGAGGUCAACUACCAAACUAAUAAAGAAAAAAAAAGAAAAAAAUAGCCUUGAUAGCCUUUGGACUGAGGCUAUCAAGUCGAUAGAUCCAUCUUGUUUCUUCUUUCAGAAGGGUAACAUCAAGAUCACCCCUUCUGGCGCCUAGAGUCUUUUUACAGAUGCCCCAGAAUUUGAGUACUUUGUGAUCUCCAUCAUGAUAAGCCCUUACAUGUCUGGAGAUUGACGUGUCUGCCUUGGUGUUAAUGCUGCUGAUAUGCUGCCAGAUUCUUCUCCUGAACUCUUGGGACGUCUUACCGACAUAUAUCUUGGGACAUAAGCAUUGGACGGCAUAUACUAUGCCUUUGGUCUUACAGUUUAUAUAUUGUCUGAUAUGGUAUUCUUUUCCAUCUGCAGGAUUAGUGAAUGAUCGACAUCUUCUCACAAGAGGACAGAACACACAGUCACCACACGGGUACGUGCCCACUAUUUUAGAUGUUAACCAGGUAGUCUUUGGUGGUUCAGGGCGAUAGAAGCUAUGGACCAACACAUCCUUCAAAUUCCUAUCUCGACGGUAGGUGACACUGGGAUUCUCUGCGUGAUAACAUUCCUGAGAUCAUUGUCUGCCCACAGGACAUGCCAGUGUUUCUUCAGAAUCCAAAACACUUGAUUGUUUUGGGCAUCAAAGGUGCCGAUGCAUCUAACAACUUAUGCAACAGAUGUCUUUAGGUGCAGCGUUUAACAAUUCUGUCCGAUUGAUAUUGCUUGCUGAUGCAAGACCUUUUUGGGAUAUCCCCUUACUCGAAAACGAUCGUACAGGGUAUUACUCUCUUUAGUGAAACUGGCAUCGUCUGAACAAUUCCUGCGGGCUCUGAUCUACUGUCCACCGGAGUGGUUUCGGGUGGCAACUAUUCCACUGCAAUAAAUUGUUUGUCGCUGUGGGUUUCCGAUGGAUCUCGGAUUGGAUGUGGCCAUCAGGGUCCAGGAACAGUCUGAGAUCAAGAAACGUGAUUG